rnacentral:rRNA from 1 species
GCCCAGACUCCUACGGGAGGCAGCAGUGAGGAAUAUUGGUCAAUGGGCGCGAGCCUGAACCAGCCAAGUCGCGUGAGGGAGGACGGCCCUACGGGUUGUAAACCUCUUUUGCCGGGGAGCAACGGGCGCCACGUGUGGCGUCACUGAGAGUACUCGGAGAAAAAGCAUCGGCUAACUCCGUGCCAGCAGCCGCGGUAAUACGGAGGAUGCGAGCGUUAUCCGGUUUUAUUGGGUUUAAAGGGUGCGUAGGGGGCUCGUUAAGAAGGGGGAAAAUUGGGGGGCCAACCCCCCUCCCCGCCAUUGAAACUGGCGUUCUUGAGUGGAAGAGAAGUAUGCGGAAUGCGUGGUGUAGCGGUGAAAUGCAUAGAUAUCACGCAGAACCCCGAUUGCGAAGGCAGCAUGCCGGCUUCCGACUGACGCUGAAGCACGAAAGCGUGGGGAUCGAACAGGAUUAGAUACCCUGGUACU